rnacentral:lncRNA from 1 species
GAACAAGCAAGGCAAUGGCAGAUGAAAUUAAAUGUUGACAAAUGCAAGUUAAUGUGCAUUGGAAGGCAUAAUGUGACCUACUCAUACACAUUGCUGCAUUUUAAAUUAACUGUAACCACUCAGGGAAAAGACCUAGAGGUUAUUGUGAACAGCUCAAUAAAAACAUCUGUUAAAUGAACAGAAGCAGUCAGAAAAGCAAACAAAACAUUGGGCCGUACAAGGGAGAUUUUAUAUUAUCAUUUAUAUUAUGAUAAUACAUCAGGACACUGAAAACUGCUUUCUGUUGUGCCAGGCUCUGUGUGAGCAGAGAGUGAAAAGGCAUCCGAGUGUGACCAGACACCAAUGGAUAAGGAGAUUCCUGGAGCAGAGGUUUGCCUUCAAGCAAGGAGAACUGUGUGAUGUGCAAGACUUCUGGCUCUGCAAGCAGCUCAACAAGCUUGGAUGCCAGCACUGCCGUGGAGCUCCUGCAAUGUGUAAUCACUGCUCUCAUGCCUCUGGUGCCCAGGGAGCCUUGCACUUACAUGGGCAGGUGGAAACCCUCCCUCAGCAAACACGCCACCAGCUGCAGCAUGUCCCACUGGAGGAGCUGGGCUGACAGACGGAGCAAGGACGACGUCCUGAGCUUUGGCUUGGCUGCUGUAUGGGGAAUAAUUCUUGUGGGCCCCUUUCUGCUUGUGUGAGCGUUUUCGGAGCAUCUUCAGAAGCACCAGCCCUCUCCUCUGUCGUAUUAUUUUUGUUUGUAAAUCCUGGCUGAAGAAGGAUCUCGGCUCAAACAUAAAGCUCCAUCUGACCUGAGCAGCACGGGGCAAAUCUGGGAUCAAGCCUGUGAAGAAAACGGGUUUAUUAGCCUUAUAAAUUGAAUCUGGAGUUCUUGGUGCAAAUAACCUAGUACCCUCCCAAGUGAUUCUGCUUUAAUGAGAAUUGUCAAAGCUGCAGGUCUGACAGAUGUGAUAAAGAUUGGACAACACUAGGGGUGGACAGCCAGGUUCCAGUGUGCUUCUGCCCAGCCUAGAAGAGCUCCCUCAGCAACACCACGGCUUCUCUCCCUACGGAUGGAGGGAAGUUCCCAACAUAUUCUCACAUUCCUCCAGUUAAAAACUUCCCACCCACAGACAUCCCAGAGCAUCCCUUUGGAGAACGAAACACAAAGGGAAUCCAAGAUGAUGCUUGGCUUCCUGCUGCUGAGACAAAUAGUGAGGCUGUUAAACUCUACCAUUGUCCCACGUCCUUUAGAGUGGAAAGAGUUUGUACUCCUUGCUCUAAGAUUUACGCAGCAGUGCUCUCCAACGCCAGGCAGCUGGGAAGUCCCCAUGUGAAACCUCUCCACAAGCUGAUGGGAAGCAGCAAGACCCACACUGCCUUCAUCAUUGUCAUCCCCAUCAAUGGAGCCAACGGGUCAGAAAACUCCCAUCCGUUACACCUAUGGCAUGCCAUCAGCUCGCAGGUGAUGAGGAAAAGCAGAUGCAGUUUUUGGUGAGCCAGUUGUUCUCCCGUUUUGCACAUCCCAAAAUGAGCUUCAAGAUUCCAAGCAUGCUUCACGCUGUAGGGUUCUGUCCACAGGGUCUGGGCUGGAUGUGACCUUAGGAGUGAAUGCAGUGUGGGGAACAGAAAAAUUCAGCAAAAAAAGAGCAAAUGUGUUAACGGAGGGCAAAAAAAAAACACACAUCAUGUAGUUCCCUCUAUUCUUAGUUUUAUGCAUUCGGCCAGUUCUGGAGUGACUGAAAACCUGAGAAUUUGAAAGGAAUGUUGUGAUUUCAGCCGAGUUCAAUAUUCUCUUCAAUAUUUUGAAAAGUGGAAGUCUUAGGCAGCUGAACAGAACUUUGCCCAUUGACAAUUCCUGCUUAGAGAAUAAACUUAGAAUAAAUAAAGGCAUCAUAGUGGGAAUUGGCUGGAGUAAACCAUUCUGUGCUGCAGUAAAAUUCAAUUCUAGGUGGUUUCAGUUGCGAUCUCCAAUACAAACCCUGAAUGUUGCUGUCCUGCAAACGCUUCUUUAUUGGAAAGCAGUCCCAGUGUCCCAGAAAACCCCCAAAGGCCUUCCUUUGCCAUAUGCCUGCACUCAGCUGCAAGUUGUUCAUGCUGCGCUCAUGACGGUGGGCAUCCACCUCACUUCAGCCUUUCAGACCCGAAGUAUCAAGCCUAAACCUACUGCCACGGUUCCCUUGUUUUUCAGAGGGAGGUUGGUACUGCAGCCUCCUACAGCUCUGCAGGCAGGGUGCUUGCUUCCAGCUGAC